UGGGGAAUAUUGCACAAUGGGCGAAAGCCUGAUGCAGCAACGCCGCGUGAGGGACGACGGCCUUCGGGUUGUAAACCUCUUUUAGCAAGGAAGAAGCGAAAGUGACGGUACUUGCAGAAAAACGCGCCGGCUAACUACGUGCCAGCAGCCGCGGUAAUACGUAGGGCGCAAGCGUUAUCCGGAAUUAUUGGGCGUAAAGAGCUCGUAGGCGGUUUGUCGCGUCUGCUGUGAAAAACCCCGAGGCUCAACCUCGGGCCUGCAGUGGGUACGGGCAGACUAGAGUGCGGUAGGGGAAGAUUGGAACUCCUGGUGUAGCGGUGGAAUGCGCAGAUAUCAGGAAGAACACCGAUGGCGAAGGCAGAUCUCUGGGCCCGUAACUGACGCUGAGG
rnacentral:rRNA from 1 species